rnacentral:tRNA from 1 species
GCUCCCUUAGCUCAGUUGGUUAGAGCGCUUCAUUCACAUUGAAGAGGCCUCUGGUUCGAGUCCAGAAGGGAGCA